GAUCAUCGGGGACACUGACAAAUUGUCAGGUGACAUUUAGAAGUAAUUGCUUAGUUUUUGAAAGGCUUCAAGAUGGUCCUUAGGUACUUUUGUGGAAGUAUGUUUGCUAUAAGAACUGCUAAAACUUGCCGGGCGGUGGUGGCGCAUGUCUUUAAUCCCAGCACUCAGGAGGCAGAGGCAGGCGGAUUUCUGAGUUGGAGGCCAGCCUGGUCUACAAAGUGAGUUCUAGGAUAGCCAGGGCUAUACAGAGAAACCCUGUCUCGAAAUAACAAAAAAAAAAAAACAAAAAAACAAACAAAAAAAACCCUGCUAAAACUUAAAAGAAGGGUGCACUGAGCUGGGGGUGCUGGAGAGAUGGCUCAAAGGUCAAGAACACUGGCUGCUCUUCCAGAGGACCUGGGUUUAAUUCCCAGCACCCACAUGGCAGCUCACAACUGCACAUAACUCCAAUUCCAGAGGAUGUGACACUCUCACACCAAUGAGUGUAAAGUAGGAUUAUUUUUACUAUAAAAUACUAUAUUAAUAUUUUGUUGUAUAAUAUGUUAACAUACAUUAUGCACACACACAUACAUAUACAUAUACAUAUAAACAUUAAAACUCGGGGACCAGUUUAGGAAAUAGAGAUAUGGGAGAUGCUGUCAGCAGGAGCAAGGGGAGGUAUUUGUAUAAUGUGAGGAACACUGUCUCCCAGGAGAAUUGAGAAGAUUGUGGCUUUUUUAUGGAGCUCUUCAUGGAGUCAUGUUCUUGCUGGUGUUAUUGUCAUUAAUCUUUAGUGGCGCCAUUAGAGACAAUUUUUUUUCUUUAAAAUUUUUUAUUUAAUUUUGAUAUUUAUUUUAUUUGUAUGAAUGUUUGACCUGCUUGUAUGUAUGUAAGCGCACCAAGUGUAUACCUGCUGCCCAUGGAAUAUAGAAGUGGGCAUCUGAUCCCCUGGAACUGAAGUUAUAAAUGGUUGUAAGCCACCACGUAGUUGCUGAGGAUCGAACGUGCAUCCUGUGCAACAGCAACAAGUGUGCUAAACUCCUGGGCUGCCUCUCCAGCCUCCUCAUCCUGCCCCCUCCUUUUUUCUUUUUUGUGUUUGGUUUUUGGUUUUUGGUUUUUGGUUUUGACCAACUCAUUAGUCCUAGACUGGCCUUGAACUUCUGUGUAUUCAAGGAUGACCGUUAGACUUUUGAUCCUCCUGCCUCUAACUCCUGAGCUCUUUAGUGCUGGUUUACUCUGUCCUGAGGAUAGAGCCUAGAGCUACACGCACCGCUAGAACUGAGUACAUGUACAACCCUAGAGAACCCAUCUUUCUUAUUAAAUGUCAUUUGUAAUUCUUUAGGUGUGGCUUUCUUUUCUAAUAACUGUAUUUAGAAAUUGUCUUUUCCUUAGGUGUGCUAUAGAAGCCUGGAAAGGGAUUACUUUUAAGACACGAUGGAAAUUUUAAAAGGCUCAUUUUUGUUCUACUGGGGAGCCUUUUCCUGUAAUUUGAUUCGAUGAAGGGAGAGGCAAGUGAGAUGCUAGAUAGUGCCUCAGAGCCUUGGUGUCCAAAUUAAAGGAACGCUUUGGUUCAUUUGUGUUUCGGUGACCUUUGCCUUUCACAAAUGUGAUAGAAUUGACACAAUUUUUACUUACUUAACCUGUGGGGACUACAAGAUGCUAUUGUCAAGGGGCCACUUUAAAUCUUGGUGGUUUCCUAUCACCUAAUGGUAUAAUGAUGGUAAUGAGCUAGCUACUGUGCUGUAUUAUUACAGUAUUAAGGAGGUAGACUUUGUCAGGAGUUAUCAGGGAGAAAGGGAAGCCACACCCAUGUGGUAUGAGAUACAUCUUCCAAUGAAGAGAGGCAUGUAGACAGGAACGUAGGUGUCUAGUGGUUUGGAUCACAAGUUUAGUGACCUAAAACUGGUGCAGACAAGGUAAAAAAGCAUAAAGGCGUCAGGGUGGAAGGAAGUGACAACAUCUCAGGUAUCAGGACAGAAAUACUGGUGUCGUGUGUCACCUGCUCUGUGAUAGAACAUUUAUGCUCACUGAUAAUCAGCUCUAUUCCAUAUAGUCAGAAU
rnacentral:lncRNA from 1 species